rnacentral:lncRNA from 1 species
GGGACUGGCGAUACUCGAGGUAAUGGCUACUGGGGCCAAGUCGUGGGCGACCUGCAGUGCAUGGGUAGAGUAAGGUGCCUCCGCCCAGUCUAAGCAGCCCUCCCCAGAGCUGGUGGGUUCCCAGGAGUGAUGCCUGUUUGUCAGUGAGGCCCCGCGGGGAUGAGGACGGAGCAUUACGCAGCGCACUGCGCCCCCUUGAACUCUGCAGAUGCCAGGAUGUCUUGAGGCCUUCCAGACCUUGCUCCACCUCCACCACCAGGUCUCCAGUCCUGAGCCACAUGCUGCCAUUUUUGUCUCAGAAGCACCCCUCUUCCAGGUGGAAGAUUGAAGGUCUGAAGAGUGGGAAGUCCCAGGAACAGGCAAUUCCAGGAAGAUAUGAGGAAAAUCAAGAAAGAGAAGGAAACUGAAGCUAGUGGGAAGUGCUUCAAGUUGGAGAUGAUGCUGAGAUGGCCAAAAAGUGAGAGGUGGAAAACAUUUGGAUUUUCAAACCUGAGUGAAUGAAUGAAUAAACGGACCUGGGAAUUGAUCAACAAUGGCUGCUGCAUCGCGUAAAGAGAGACGACCAGGUGUCAGCUGGCUGUCAACUGAUCUAGGAUGGUCUUGGAGGGACAACGAGGGCAACCCCAUGUCUCUUCUUUAGCAGGCCAGCCCAGACAUGCUUUCAUGGCUGAAUAGGAGCCAGCCUGGUCAUGGGAGCAAUUUUCAAGCAAGUCUCUGCUUGAAUGUCACAUUUACUAACAUCCUGUUGGCCAAGGUGCAUCCCAUGGCUGAGCCCAGUGUCCAAGUGAAAGGGCACCAGGAAGUUCCCUGCAGCGCUGUGGGUACUGGAAGAAUGGGCGCCAUCUUCAUGACAGCAGCAUGCUAAGUUACAGAAAGUGAGCGGCGUUCUAGACAAAGCAAGCUCAUCUGUGAAUGGAUCAUGGCGGAAACCUGACCACAGUAUGUUGGGAUUUAUGUGUUUGACAUUUUCUAUAAUAGAAAGGCAGAUCAAAAAUAAGGCUCCAGUGCCUCCACUCAGGAAAGCUCAAGUAGGUUUUCUUGAGAAUUUUUAGUGGAUACCCUGUUUUGCAAUGUUCUUUUCUUUUUCUAAUGAGGCUGAACCAGAUUGUAAUGCCAUGAGGCUUCUACAUGGAGAGCUGGACGUUGGUGAGGAUUGGGUGGAGAAGGCCGGGUGGAGGCUGGGCCUGGGAGAAGAGCAGCAGAUUCCCAAACGUACUGGUAUUGGUGCAUACUCUGAGAAAGACAUCUCAGAGCACUUCUGCCGUCAGUUACGAAGUUUCAAUAUAAGAAUUCUUUCUA